AUCAUUUUAAUUUUUUUCUUGCGUCCCUCUUCUUCUUCUUCCUUUUUCACCACCAACUUCCAGCCACCAUAACUCCUCCAUGCGGCCUCCUUUGAAAACCCCACAGCCAUCAAUGAAUUCAUCUCUUCUCCCUCUUCAAUAACCACUAAUUUAUUUUUAGAUUGGUGAGAGUUUGAAAAACUCCAAUCACCACUUUCACUCUCAAUUUUCGGCCACCAUGAGACUCUUUUUGAGAAAUAAAAGUGACAAUAUUCUUUUUCAUGAUGACCUCUACCAAACCUCUCAAUUUAUUUCAUGAUCUGGGUACUUUCACCGGAGACCACCGUGCCGGAAGCUGCUGCAGCCGCGCCGGAAAACUCAAGGUAAAAGAAAGGGAAACAGAAAUCCAAGGCUGGCUAUGUCAUUUUCUUUCAUUUGCAGCAAAGCUAAACAAUUCUGAUUCAUAAAAGUUUUCAUUAAAAUUCUAAUUUCACAUAAGCAUUUAGUUGGAUUUUGAUUUUGAGUAUGUGUUUGUAGAUGCAUAUGUAUAAACAUGUAUGUUUCUUA